rnacentral:misc_RNA from 1 species
AAUUCUCAACUCCGAUCGAUUUGUUUCGACCUCGGAGCUUGGACUUUGGAGCGUGCUGGCGUCUGUCGGCUCCUCUUAAAUGCAUCAGCGGAAUAUAACCCCGGACAUCAGUGUGAUAAUCGUGUUGCGCUGUCGUCCGAGGUAUGAAAGUCCGCUCAUAAUGGUCUUCGGACAAACUUUACAAUCAA